rnacentral:rRNA from 1 species
UACAGAGACCCCGAGCGUUACCCGGAUUUAUUGGGCGUAAAGGGUUCGUAGGUUGUGAAGUAAGUUGCAAAUUAAACCUCAUCGGCUUAACCUUUGAGCUGUUUGCAAUACUGCUACACUUAGAGGGCGUUAGAGGCAAACGGAACCGAUGGAGUAGGGGUGAAAUCCGUUGAUAUCAUCGGGAACACCAAAUGCGAAGGCAGUUUGCUGGGGCGACCCUGACACUGAGGAACGAAAGCGUGGGGAGCAAAAAGG